AAAUGAAACGCCAUCGACUUAUCUAUUACCAAUUACCAGGUGUUAUUUGAUUAUUUGCGAUCGUGUCGCGGAACGAGUAACGGUGAUCGGCUCGUAAAAAAACAACGUUAUCGGUCGUUCAGAAACAUUUUUCGUUUACAACGAUUUAUCGUUACGUGCGGGUUUAUAAAUUAAAUUAAUUAUCCUACACAAUAUCCUAGUUUCUUAAUUUUCCACUUAAACAGUGACCCACCCGUGGUGCGAAAUACGUCCGAUUUUUUUCCGAGUGGUGUUUUUGUAGUUAACCAUUGAUUAUAUUAUAAAACCAAUGAUAAUACACUAAUGUGUGAAACGAUUUUUACAUCAAUAAGCAACACUAUAAAAUCAUACGUGUAUAAAAAUGUAGUAUGUAGUAUAUUGUAUACGCAAAUAAUAUUAUAAAAUAAUAAUAGUGAACAGAAAUACAAUUAAUUAUACGGCCAUACAACGAAAUUCGGAACGUGCGCUUAUGUAGGUUAAAAUCGACGACUAACACACAGGUCCAGUGGCGCAAUCGGUUAGCGCACGGUACUUAUAAGACAGUUGUCGUGAGCAAUGCCGGGGUUGUGAGUUCGAGCCUCACCUGGACCAAAAAUCUUUUUUGCAUUUUUUUUCAGCCUUUUUUUUUACACUAGUUCAAUUUUUAUUAUCGACUUUUACAUUCUUUCACGAUAUUUCCCUUGUACAUUUACACACACACAACUCCCCUUUGUCGACGGAGAUAACCGACAUUGUUUCAUUUUAAUACAGUUUCGCCGAAUAUUUUAGGAGGUACAUUUUUCGUUUUAAAAGUUUUCUCAUUUUUCAAAUCAAUGAAGGUACUCUAAAGACAAGUGACAAAUCAUUCGACCACAGAGCGUUGUUCUUUAAAAUUUCGAGCAAAAAAAAAGUAAAAGCCAAAAGAACACAAAUUCUGUAGAAUAUUUAUUCUACAGAACUGUAUUCGAGAGACCAC